AGCGAACGCUGGCGGCAGGCUUAACACAUGCAAGUCGAGCGGGCACCUUCGGGUGUCAGCGGCAGACGGGUGAGUAACACGUGGGAACGUACCCUUCGGUUCGGAAUAACGCUGGGAAACUAGCGCUAAUACCGGAUACGCCCUUAUGGGGAAAGGUUUACUGCCGAAGGAUCGGCCCGCGUCUGAUUAGCUAGUUGGUGGGGUAACGGCCUACCAAGGCGACGAUCAGUAGCUGGUCUGAGAGGAUGAUCAGCCACACUGGGACUGAGACACGGCCCAGACUCCUACGGGAGGCAGCAGUGGGGAAUAUUGGACAAUGGGCGCAAGCCUGAUCCAGCCAUGCCGCGUGAGUGAUGAAGGCCUUAGGGUUGUAAAGCUCUUUUGUCCGGGACGAUAAUGACGGUACCGGAAGAAUAAGCCCCGGCUAACUUCGUA
rnacentral:rRNA from 1 species